rnacentral:lncRNA from 1 species
CAUUGCCGUAGCUUUGAAGCUUUCCGCUCAUAGUCAUUCAUUUCCCACGAAUCGGUUAGUCCGAGCGCCGCUAGGGUAGCCAGUGCCUUGAAUAAUUUUAACCAUCCGCUGUACUUGCGAAUUUAUGAAUACAAUGUCUUCUCCAAACGAGGGGCGUCACCUGAUAACACAUUGUUCAUGCCCAGCCAUAUUCGUAGGUUUUUAUAUCUGUUCGGCACAUCCAUUCCUCAUUCACUGUUUGUAAAAAACUGUUUGUAACCUUCAUCCCCCCCUUAGUGCUUUGGAACGAAUAGAUUUUACCAUCCACGGAACAUAGCCUUUGGAAAUAGCCCUGCUUCCAUAAGUCGCCAUAUCAAUCCAAACCGGCCUCUUAGUCUGGCGGUUUAACAUGAACUGAUCCC